rnacentral:rRNA from 1 species
UACGUAGGGGCCGAGCGUUGUCCGGAGUUACUGGGCGUAAAGCGCGCGCAGGCGGUUCUUUAAGUCUGAUGUGAAAGCCCACGGCUCAACCGUGGAGGGUCAUUGGAAACUGGGGAACUUGAGUACAGAAGAGGAAAGCGGAAUUCCACGUGUAGCGGUGAAAUGCGUAGAGAUGUGGAGGAACACCAGUGGCGAAGGCGGCUUUCUGGUCUGUAACUGACGCUGAGGCGCGAAAGCGUGGGGAGCAAACAGG